rnacentral:pre_miRNA from 1 species
CCUGUUGCCACAAACCCGUAGAUCCGAACUUGUGGUGAUAGUGCACACAAGCUUGUGUCUAUAGGUAUGUGUCUGU